GACGAACGCUGGCGGCGUGGAUAAGGCAUGCAAGUCGAACGAAUCAAUGCGCUUUGCAUUGGUUAGUGGCGAACGGGGUAGUAACACGUAAGUACCUGCCCCAGUCACAGAAAUAACUCUUCGAAAGAAGAGUUAAUGUCUGAUGGUCUCCGACCUUGCGUCGGAGUAAAGAUUUUGGUUUACCAAAAUCGGACUGGGAUGGGCUUGCGGGCUAUCAGCUUGUUGGUAGGGUAAUGGCCUACCAAGGCGAUGACGGCUAGGGGGGGUGAGAGCCUGUUCCCCACCAAUGGCACUGAGACACUGGCCAUACACCUACGGGUGGCAGCAGUCGAGAAUCUUCCACAAUGGGCGAUAGCCUGAUGGAGCGACGCCGCGUGCCUGAUGAAGUCCUUCGGGAUGUAAAAGGCUUUUCUGUCUGAAGAAGCUCCGACGUUACGUCAGAGUUGACAUUAAGACAGGAAUAAGGGGUUGCUAAACUCGUGCCAGCAGCCGCGGUAAUACGAGUGCCCCGAGCGUUGUCCGGAAUUACUGGGCGUAAAGGGUGUGUAGGGUAUUAUGUUAGUCCUGCUUUAAAAAUUCCGGCUCAACCGGAAAGAUGGGCAGGAAACGGCAUGAUUUUGAGGAUGCGAGAGGCCUGUGGAACUCACGGUGUAGAGGUGAAAUUCGUUGAUAUCGUGGGGAACACCAAAUGCGAAGGCAGCAGGCUGGCGCAUUCCUGACCCUGAAACACGAAAGCGUGGGGAGAGAAGAGGAUUAGAUACCCUCGUAUUCCACGCCCUAAACGAUGUUCACUAGUUAUUUGAAGUAUCGACCCUUCGAGUGGCGAAGCUAACGCGUUAAGUGAACCGCCUGGGAAGUACGGCCGCAAGGCUAAAACUCAAAGGAAUAGACGGGGGCUCGCACAAGCGGUGGAUCAUGCGGUUUAAUUCGUUGGUAAACGAAGAACCUCACCAGGGCUUGACAUUUUGCUGAAAUCUCGAUGAAAGUCGAGACUUCUCACAAGGACAGCAGAACAGGUGUUGCAUGGCUGUCGUCAGUUCGUGAUUUGAAUUGUUCCCUUAAGUGGGGUAACGAACGCAAUCCUUGUGCUGUGUUAUAUUAGUGUCACAGCAUACUGCCCCGUUAUACGGGGAGGAAGGAGAGGAUGACGCCAAGUCAGCAUGGCCCUUUGAUGUCCUGGGCUACACGCAUGAUACAAUGGUCAGUACAAUGUGUUUGCUAAGCCGCGAGGUGGAGCUAAUCACAUCAAAGCUGGCCCUAGUUCGGAUUGGAGUCUGCAACUCGACUCCAUGAAGCUGGAAUCGCUAGUAAUCGCAGGUCAGCUAUACUGCGGUGAAUACGUUCUCGGGCCUUGUACUCACUGCCCGUCAAUGCAAGGGAGCCGGGAAUACCCGAA
rnacentral:rRNA from 1 species